ACGAACGCUGGCGGCGUGCUUAACACAUGCAAGUCGUACGGUAAGGCCCUUUCGGGGGUACACGAGUGGCGAACGGGUGAGUAACACGUGAGUAACCUGCCCACAACUUUGGGAUAACGCUAGGAAACUGGUGCUAAUACUGGAUAUGUGCCCCUGCUGCAUGGUGGGGGUUGGAAAGCUCCGGCGGUUGUGGAUGGACUCGCGGCCUAUCAGCUUGUUGGUGGGGUAGUGGCCUACCAAGGCGGCGACGGGUAGCCGGCCUGAGAGGGUGACCGGCCACAUUGGGACUGAGAUACGGCCCAGACUCCUACGGGAGGCAGCAGUGGGGAAUAUUGCACAAUGGGCGCAAGCCUGAUGCAGCAACGCCGCGUGCGGGAUGACGGCCUUCGGGUUGUAAACCGCUUUCAGCAGGGACGAAGCUUUUUGUGACGGUACCUGCAGAAGAAGCACCGGCUAACUACGU
rnacentral:rRNA from 1 species